AAGUAAUUCUGGAUCUUUCCUAAUGACUAAAAAGUAUUUAAGAUUAAAUAUGAAUGUUAAUCUCAGGGUGUCUAGUCUGUUCAUCUGUAAAGAAUUCAGAUCACUAGUAUUUAGACAUUCAUUGGAGUACCCUCAAAGUAACAUUUUCAGUAUUCCUGUGAGGCUGUGACAUUUUUAGCUUUAAAAAGGUACUUUAAGCCACUUUGGGAGGGGGAAAAGUGUCCAGAUGGAUCCCUCAACUUGAAAGCAACCAUCCCCUUAGCUGGGCUCCUGGAAAGGAAGGGAGAAAAAAAAAGGAGGGAGAAGUAAUUGGCACGUAAAGAUACGAGAAAAAGAAAGAUCAAUGAAAGGAGAAAAAUAGGGAGAGGACUGGAUAAACAAGCCAGGAUUACUUAAAAUCCCUCAGAUUUGGGAAAACAGAGUCAAAGCUCGAAGGAUGAAGAAGCAGUGCCACAGUGCUACGUUUAAAUCAAAACGCUAUCUUUUUAAAAUGAGAUGAUUUAAAAAAAAACAUUAAACUAAUUCCUAAUUUCGUCUUUGCAUAAUGACACUCUUCCCAUGUCUUCAUCUUGAUGCCCCCUGUGAAAACACCACAUCUACUAAUGAGGGUAAACGGACAUAGCAUGUGACCAGCACGUGACCAGCAUGUGACCAGGAGUGUUAACAGUUCUGUAGCAGUUACUCAGAGGCAACUGCAGAAUACAUUUAUUUAGGACACCACACAUCCCUAGGACACACAGAAGACAGAAAUCUUUGAAACCAAAAGGUGCCUGAAUUAAUGGAGCUGACAUGCAGCCAGCAGUAAACGGCAAAGGACCAAUGAAAACAAUCACCCUGUCCCGUGUCAAUUCUGUUUCUAGGCUCUCGUCUAAGCUCUGCCAGGAAUGGACGGAAGGGAGAAAGACAUAGGCCGUUUCAGCUGGCUGGAACAGCAAGCAAAAUGCAUCAGUUGGCAGAAUCCUGCCAAUGUUCCAAGGAAACCUGAAGCCGGUUCCCACCCCCACCCCUCCUCCAUGGAUGCCCGUGGAAGACAGAGCUCCAUGGAACCAUGAUAUUAAGUUGCAGACUCUGCCUGUUCGUAUAGACCAGAGCUUUUCUGUGACAUUACUGUCAAACAGCCCCCUGUGUGACUAAUAUUUUUAACAGCAUGCUAUUUAAAAUUUGACAAGGAUAUAAUAAUUCAUUCUUCAGAUAGUCAACAUACUAUGAGAGUCAGUCAUGUCUUCAAAGUAUCUUUCAAAGGGGCUAUUAAAAGUAGGUUAAAGUUUUCCCCCUACAGCAUGCAAUUUCAUUUUGGCUUUACCACUUCAACCACAUAAAAUUAAAUUUUGACUUGAGAGUGACCUACAGAAAAUUAGAUGGAAAAAUAAGGGGAAAGAUUUAAAUUACUGAUUCAAAGGAAACUAACAUGUCUGUCUGCAAUUUAGCAUACAGUUUGCUGAGCCUUCCGAGAAUCUUAUGUUUCUGGUAGUCACUAUUUUCCUCUUAGGAUUCAGAUUGUAUUUUUAAUGGAAAUGUUGUAGAACUUAAUGGAAUGUAAUAUCUUGUGAUAUAUAGACUUAAGGCAACACAGGAAAGAAUUAGCCACACAUAUUUUCUGCCAUAAUCCUCCUCUCUACUCCCAGCCUUCUUGUAACCUGUGAUCUAGCCACCCAAAUCAACUAGACAUUCUCUCAAAUAAACUAUGCUCUCUAAAGCUCU